rnacentral:rRNA from 1 species
AUACGGAGGUUCCGAGCGUUAUCCGGAAUCAUUGGGUUUAAAGGGUCCGUAGGCGGGAAUCUAAGUCAGUGGUGAAAUCUUGCAGCUCAACUGUAAAAUUGCCAUUGAUACUGGAUUUCUUGAAUUAGUGUGAAGUGGUUAGAAUGUGUAGUGUAGCGGUGAAAUGCAUAGAUAUUACACAGAAUACCAAUUGCGAAGGCAGAUCACUAACACUAUAUUGACGCUGAGGGACGAAAGCGUGGGGAGCGAACAGGAUUAGAAACCCCUGUAGUCC